rnacentral:lncRNA from 1 species
GGUAACUGUAAGGGGCUGGAAGUGGGAAACUCCAGCUCAUAUCCCCGUUGGCCUCCUGAGCAGCUGGUUUAAGCUGUGUUUGAAAAACAAGCAUGUGUAGUCGAAGCUGAAUGGAGCUGAGCAGCUCUGCUCUGCAAACAGGAGAUUUCAGACUAACCUGUGUAGUAUUUUUGAUAGACGUGUACAUAAAGCUGGGGGCAGAUCAUGGCUACGGGGGAUGGAGCUUGGGGACUUGGUUCGAGCUUGAAGAGAGCAGGGGUGAGUUGAGCAGAUCAUUGGUACCUAAGGCAAUGGUUUUCAAAGGAAAUAGCAGGUGUUAGUGUUCAAAAUCCCCUGCAGCCGAGUUGAACAUCUGACAUCAUUAGGCUCUGUUUGUAAAUAUUUUCCUAUGUGGUGAAAAUACACAGUUACAAAGCUGGAUCUCAAAAUGCUGGGACAAUUGGGUGGCAAAAAAAAUAAAUAAAUAACUAUUACCAAGUGCACCUGUAUUGUCACUUUCAGCCAAAACAGCUGAACCUCAGGUGGGUCAGGAGUGAGCCCGGAGUUCCCAUCCACUGGGUGCUGGAGCAGAGGGAGAGGCGCCCACCAAAUCCAGUCCGCAUGUGGCCCAAGCGCAUCCUGACCAAACGCUGCCUGGAAGCAGGCAGGGCUCGCUGCGAAAUGACUCCAGUGAUGGCUGCAGGGGAGCUGGGAUGAAACUUGGUGCAGUUUUCGGAAGAAUGAUUGCCGCCAAUAACACCAUAGGCAAGAUUUCAGAACAAAGGCUUUUUCUCAUGAGUUAGCAAAAGCAAUGCUAGCUAUUCGCGAUUUAUGCCUCCCUUAUAAAUUACAUUUUAAGACUAGGAUUCUGUGUCAUCAGAAAAGAUGCAUUUUAUUUUUAUAUAGCGUCUUUAACACACACUUAAGGAGAAUGAUAGCAGUGUCAGGGGCUCAGGGUGAUUUUUUUUGUCUUUUUUCUUUUUUUUUUUUUUUCACAGAAGGGUUUCAGCCUGUGAAGUUGGAAGCAGGGAGCUAUGGAGGAGCUGCGCAUGACAGAUUUAGGGGACGGGGCAGAGAUCAGAGCGACGGGCACAGUACAAAGAGAUUGAGGAAGAAAAAGAGCAUUUUCAAGGAGGAGUGAAUGAAACAAAGAAGACCGCGGCCCUUCCCUGCAGCAGGCCUCUGAUGCCGCGUCGGAGCGACCAUGAGGGCCAUCGGCUCGGCGUGGUGCCAGGCCCGGGCUCUGCACCACUCUGCUGUGUCGUGGCAGAGACCUGGAGGAUCGGAGGAGGCCAGAUCAUCUCCACCAGCCUCCAUUUGUGGGGGAGCUGCUCAAGAGCCCUGCUCGGCCUGGCCAGUGCUGAGGAUGGCCAAAGCCACCACAUGGAGAGUGAUGCUGGGCUGGGGACACUGCCUUUGAUCUGCUGGAGCCAGGAAUGAGAGGUGCCUGACCUGACACAGCCCCCUGCCAUCUCCUGCUUGUUGUUCUCCCAAAAGCACAUCACCCCGGGAAAAAUCCAAGGCCUUGUUUCUGAGACCCAGGCUCUUUUCAUGUGCAGCACCAACUGCACCUACUCAGCCCACACGUGUUGCUCACCUGAGGCCCUCUUGCCACUGCCAUGAGUUUUGGGGCACAGGGGAGCUGGACAGGUCUCCUAGAAAACCAUGUUUUAGCUCAGCUUUCAGGGCUGCAGUUGUCCUCUUGUCCCGUGUCUGCUCAGCACCCGUCAAAGUAAGAUCCCUGGCUGUGACAGCCCAGCUCCUGUGGGCAUUACUCCAAACUUACCAGUAACAAGAAUAGUUUAAAAUAUUCUGAAAAAAAAUCUGCUCUCAGCUAUUUAGUAAUUAGCCAUUAAUAAAUCACAACACUCAGGAGGAACUUCA